GACGUAGGGCGCAAGCGUUGUCCGGAAUUAUUGGGCGUAAAGGGCUCGUAGGCGGUUUGUCGCGUCGGGAGUGAAAUCCACUGGCUUAACUGGUGGCUUGCUUUCGAUACGGGCAGACUGGAGGUAUGCAGGGGAGAACGGAAUUCCUGGUGUAGCGGUGAAAUGCGCAGAUAUCAGGAGGAACACCGGUGGCGAAGGCGGUUCUCUGGGCAUGUCCUGACGCUGAGGAGCGAAAGUGUGGGGAGCGAACAGG
rnacentral:rRNA from 1 species